UCUCUAAAACAAAAGCUCUCAUUUUUGAGUAACGCCCAUGCCGCACAGGGACUGUGUUGGAAACACACAUUUUUUAAAAUUGCUCAUACGCUCACAUUUUUGCAAAAUAUCAAUAUUUUUCGGUAUUUGAAGUCAUGUGCGGCAUGGAUGUUUACUAAAAAUGUGCAGGCCGAACACAUUUUUGAGCGAAGGCGUUUUUGCGUGA